CAGAGUUGCAAAACUCCCACAAACCACCGCGAAUCUUACCCGUACGGUUGCCUCGGCGCUGGCGGUCCGGAAGGCCCUCGGGCCCCCGGAUCCUCGGGUCUCCCGCUCGCGGGAGGCUGCCCGCCGGAGUGCCGAAACUAAACUCUUGAUAUCUUAUGUCUCUCUGAGUACACUUUUAAAUAAGUCA
rnacentral:misc_RNA from 1 species